AUACGAAGGGGGCUAGCGUUGUUCGGAAUUACUGGGCGUAAAGCGCAUGUAGGCGGACAUUUAAGUCAGGGGUGAAAUCCCCCCCGGGGCUCAACCUCGGAACUGCCUUUGAUACUGGGUGUCUAGAGUGUGGAAGAGGUAAGUGGAAUUCCGAGUGUAGAGGUGAAAUUCGUAGAUAUUCGGAGGAACACCAGUGGCGAAGGCGGCUUACUGGUCCAUUACUGACGCUGAGGUGCGAAAGCGUGGGGAGC
rnacentral:rRNA from 1 species